ensembl:lncRNA
GGAUGAAGGACCAUGCCAGAGGAGAUACUGACCUACCCAGCCUCUCCAGCAGCCUCGACUCACACCAAGUCGUCUAGAUCCAGAGCUGGCUCUUGACCCAGCCUCUGCCUGCAGCCCCAGAAGCAGUGGGAAUGCCCCCCUCCAGGGGAACCAUGAGGACACCUGGGGCCACUGCAGAGGAUGCAGAUUAUUGUCCAGUUUCUGAGGAGCAACCUGUGUGCAAGUUUCUCUGUCACUUUAUUUGCCAAUCUGCUGAGAGCAUGAUGGAUUAAAUGUUCCCCAGUGACUUUUCACAUCUGCUAAUGUAUUCAGCAAAGCAUUUAUUGCUGACUUCGUAUGGCCUAAUUGUGGUAAUAACUUAAUAUGAUUAAACCUAAUCAAAUCCAUGUCAGUAAAUGAAGCUAUGUGUUUUCCACUGAUGAAUUCAUAAAUGGGAUAUCAUGACCCAUAUGUUCACUUUAAGUAACUUUCCAGAAUGCUUCUUUUGUUAUGGCAACGAAGUUACAUAAUUAGGAAAAUGUAUUAAAUGGCAUGCUCAACAAUUUUGAGCAAGUCGUCAAACUGAGAUCUCAAAGGCAAUUGUAGCCACUAGACCUUAUCAGCCCACAGCCAGGAGCACUGCCUGGUGAUUGCCGAUGAGAACAAAGGCUGCUUCCUCUGGACUUCCUUCUGUGACAUUAAUUCUACCUGCAAGAAGUCUUCCAAAUCCAUCACUGCCUUCUUGGUCCCAAGCCCACUUCUCUAAUUCAUUUCCUCAUUUCAUUGAGGCCUCAUUUCCUCUUGCAUUGUUAUUGCCACAAUCUAGAAUAUGAUUUAGAAUAUCAUAUGUGUCAAAAGACACAGAUAUUAUCAAUAUGAUCAAACAAGAAUUGAUGCCAAAGAGUGACGGUGGUGAGGGAGGAGGUUAUAUCAAAACUGAAGCUGACUGAACAAAGAAGAAAGUUCUUCAAUAUGCAACAACGCGGAUGAACCUGGAGCCCAUGAUACUCAGUGAAAUGAGCAGUCACGGAAGGAUAAAUACGGCAUGAUUCCACUUACCUGUGGCAGCUAAAAUAGUCGAACUCAUAGAAUCAAAGAGUGGAAUGGAGAUUGUUGGGGGCUGGGGGAGGGGGAAAUGAGGAGUAACUUUAAUCAAAGGGCAUGAAGUUUCAGUCAUGCAAAACGAGUAAGUUCUAGAGAUUUGCUUUACAGCAUUGUGACUCUAGUCAACAAUACUGUAUUGUGCACUUAAAAAUUUAACCCCAGAGCUGACGCUUGCCAGUUAAGGCUGGUCUUUCACAUCUAGGACCAACUGCACUUAGUGGCCGGGCAAAGCAGGCUGUUUCGAUUCUAUUGAGAGAUCCAGUGGUUUCCUUAUGCAAUAUUAGCUGUAAAAGUCCGUUUUUACCUUUCUCCUUCUCAUUUUCCUGGCUCUUGGGCACUCACCGCCAUUACCUCCCUUUCAAAUUUCGCAGGAUCCUUCUCGGUGUUUAAACAGAUGAUAGUCCAAUAGGCAGUUUCCGCGUUCAGCUGCUUCCUGCUUUUAAACCCCAGCCUCACGGAGUUUAUUUAUCUAAGACGUUUUCUCAGCCUAUGAAGCACAGUUCUGGAUGCGCGAAAGAAACGGAACAUUUCGCUCUUCAUCUACGCUUCUGUACAGUCGAUUUAUCCUCCACAAUUUAUCGUCCUGUGCUGCAGGGGGACCUAUCCUACAGGCGCCGCUGCUGCUGCCAUUCAUGAGGAUUAAUGUUGUCAAGGGAAAAACACCAGAAGCUUGAGAGAGAAAAAUGAGCUCUACUGUAGCACGGUAGUAAAGAGAAAGAAAUGCCAUAAAUGAGAAAAUACAAACCCAGCCUUGUUGCCAAUGGAGAUAUUGUGACCUCGGGACAUAGGAGGUCACAGAAGAGGCUCCUCAGGGAUGUGCUGAAAGUACACGACCUGGGACGUUGUCACAGAGGAAGGACAGGAACAUAAGUAUUUUUAAAUAUAUUUGUUUUAAAACCUAAAUGGAGAAAACAAAUGUUAGGCAUUUGAUCUUUUCAACA